rnacentral:lncRNA from 1 species
AAUUUGAAUGGAAUGCAGUCACUGGAUGAGGGUACAGAGAAUCCCUGAGCAGAAUCCUGGGUGUUUGUUUCUUUCCUGUGGUCCUGCCCUGCCCAGGCCUCUGAGAAAUGCAGAGCCUUUCCUCUCCCCAUCCCUCCCUCUCCCUCAGAGGUGAUUUUGAAAGGUCUCAGCUUCUUAUGCAUACCCCUUGGGGUCAGGAGGUAAGAAGCUUUUUUAUUUUAGGCCUCUGGCGGAAGAUUAAUGGGACUGCCCCUGGCGAGGUGGCAGAGGGCAGGUCUGGCUGAGAGCUUGUGUUCAGGGGUUUGGGGAGGGGACACCGGGAAAGGAACGAGGGCCCCACUGCACAUAGCACCCUUGCUGGGAAGGGUGAGGGCUGCAGACACUUGUAAGCCUGCUUGACUUUGAGGGGGACGUCUGGGUCUUCUGGGGCCAAGUCCUUGGAGAACUCUGGAGAGGCUCUGGGACCCCCAGGGCCCACGACGACGCAGUGCUCAGCUGAGAGGCCAGGGAAAGGGAGGUGGCUGCUGUACCCUAGAAACGAGACCCCUUCCUCUGUUCCAGUCUCUCGGAUGAAGAGUUGGAGGGACAAAGCUACCUUAUAGUGGCUGACAUUGCCUCCCACCUUGUCCUGCAGGACACCAAAGCCAGAUGACCUUUGAUUUAGAAGCAUAAUGCGACAAUUCUUGCACCUGAGUGCCGUGGGACCCAUUCACUCCUUCCUGGCCCCAAGCAGCUGACGCAGGAGGCCUAAGUUUUAAUUGAUAUAGACUUGAAAUAUUCAAAGAGCUAAGCUAUCAAAUCCAUCUUGUUCUCUGCAUUUUUCUUAUAACACAGAGUAUGCCCCAGUGUUGAAUAACCAUGCCGGGGACAGCAGGAAAGGGACUCACGGGUUGUGAAUUUACAUGUGACGUCAGAAAGGCUCUGUAGACAGGAGGCGGGAUGUGCGCCUGGCC